rnacentral:rRNA from 1 species
ACCUACGGGACGCAGCAGUAAGGAAUAUUGGUCAAUGGACGAAAGUCUGAACCAGCCAUCCCGCGUGCAGGAUGACGGCCCUAUGGGUUGUAAACUGCUUUUAGCAGAGACGAAACGCUGUCAUUUAUGAUGGUCUGACGGUAUCUGCAGAAUAAGCACCGGCUAACUCCGUGCCAGCAGCCGCGGUAAUACGGAGGGUGCAAGCGUUAUCCGGAAUCACUGGGUUUAAAGGGUGCGUAGGCGGAAAAUUAAGUCAGUGGUGAAAGCCUGUCGCUUAACGAUAGAACUGCCAUUGAUACUGAUUUUCUUGAAUUGGGUUGAGGUUAGCGGAAUGUGACAUGUAGCGGUGAAAUGCAUAGAUAUGUCAUGGAACACCAAUUGCGAAGGCAGCUAGCUGGGCCUUGAUUGACGCUGAGGCACGAAAGCGUGGGUAGCGAACAGGAUUAGAUACCCUGGU